GGAUGAACGCUGGCGGCGUGCCUAAUACAUGCAAGUCGAGCGAACGGACGAGAAGCUUGCUUUUCUGAUGUUAGCGGCGGACGGGUGAGUAACACGUGGAUAACCUACCUAUAAGACUGGGAUAACUUCGGGAAACCGGAGCUAAUACCGGAUAAUAUUUUGAACCGCAUGGUUCAAAAGUGAAAGACGGUCUUGCUGUCACUUAUAGAUGGAUCCGCGCUGCAUUAGCUAGUUGGUAAGGUAACGGCUUACCAAGGCAACGAUGCAUAGCCGACCUGAGAGGGUGAUCGGCCACACUGGAACUGAGACACGGUCCAGACUCCUACGGGAGGCAGCAGUAGGGAAUCUUCCGCAAUGGGCGAAAGCCUGACGGAGCAACGCCGCGUGAGUGAUGAAGGUCUUCGGAUCGUAAAACUCUGUUAUUAGGGAAGAACAUAUGUGUAAGUAACUGUGCACAUCUUGACGGUACCUAAUCAGAAAGCCACGGCUAACUACGUG
rnacentral:rRNA from 1 species